rnacentral:misc_RNA from 1 species
UCCGACUUAACGUCGGCAGUCUCGUUAGAGUGCCCGGCUUACCCGUUGGCAACUAACGACAGAGGUUGCGCUCGUUGCGGGACUUAACCCAACAUCUCACGACACGAGCUGACGACAGCCAUGCAGCACCUUCUCACCGGCUCUCUUGCGAGCACCCCCACAUCUCUGCGAGGUUCCGGUGGAUUUAACCCAGGUAAGGUUCUGCGCGUUGCGUCGAAUUGAACCACAUGCUCCACCGCUUGUGCGGGCCCCCGUCAAUUCCUUUGAGUUUCAGUCUUGCGACCGUACUCCCCAGGCGGAAUGCUUAAUGCGUUAGCGGCGGCACCUCGGGACUAUAAAACCCGAGACACCAAGCAUUCAUCAUUUAAGGCUAGGACUAC